GACGAACGCUGGCGGCGUGCUUAACACGUGCAAGUCGAACGGUAAGGCUCCAGCUUGCUGGGGUACACGAGUGGCGAACGGGUGAGUAACACGUGGGUGACCUGCCCUGCACUUCGGGAUAAGCCUGGGAAACUGGGUCUAAUACCGGAUAGGACCGCACCGUGAGGGUGUGGUGGAAAGUUUUUUCGGUGUGGGAUGGGCCCGCGGCCUAUCAGCUUGUUGGUGGGGUAAUGGCCUACCAAGGCGGCGACGGGUAGCCGGCCUGAGAGGGUGGACGGCCACAUUGGGACUGAGACACGGCCCAGACUCCUACGGGAGGCAGCAGUGGGGAAUAUUGCACAAUGGGCGGAAGCCUGAUGCAGCGACGCCGCGUGGGGGAUGACGGCCUUCGGGUUGUAAACUCCUUUCACCAUCGACGAAGGGUUUCUGACGGUAGAUGGAGAAGAAGCACCGGCUAACUACGUGCCAGCAGCCGCGGUAAUACGUAGGGUGCGAGCGUUGUCCGGAAUUACUGGGCGUAAAGAGCUCGUAGGUGGUUUGUCGCGUCGUCUGUGAAAUUCCGGGGCUUAACUCCGGGCGUGCAGGCGAUACGGGCAUAACUUGAGUACUGUAGGGGAGACUGGAAUUCCUGGUGUAGCGGUGAAAUGCGCAGAUAUCAGGAGGAACACCGGUGGCGAAGGCGGGUCUCUGGGCAGUAACUGACGCUGAGGAGCGAAAGCAUGGGGAGCGAACAGGAUUAGAUACCCUGGUAGUCCAUGCCGUAAACGGUGGGCGCUAGGUGUGGGUUUCCUUCCACGGGAUCCGUGCCGUAGCUAACGCAUUAAGCGCCCCGCCUGGGGAGUACGGCCGCAAGGCUAAAACUCAAAGGAAUUGACGGGGGCCCGCACAAGCGGCGGAGCAUGUGGAUUAAUUCGAUGCAACGCGAAGAACCUUACCUGGGCUUGACAUAUACAGGAUCGCGCCAGAGAUGGUGUUUCCCUUGUGGCUUGUAUACAGGUGGUGCAUGGUUGUCGUCAGCUCGUGUCGUGAGAUGUUGGGUUAAGUCCCGCAACGAGCGCGACCCUUGUCUUAUGUUGCCAGCACGUUGUGGUGGGGACUCGUAAGAAACUGCCGGGGUUAACUCGGAGGAAGGUGGGGAUGACGUCAAAUCAUCAUGCCCCUUAUGUCCAGGGCUUCACACAUGCUACAAUGGUCGGUACAGUGGGUUGCCAGUCCGUGAGGGCGAGCUAAUCCCGCAAAGCCGGUCUCAGUUCGGAUCGGGGUCUGCAACUCGACCCCGUGAAGUCGGAGUCGCUAGUAAUCGCAGAUCAGCAACGCUGCGGUGAAUACGUUCCCGGGCCU
rnacentral:rRNA from 1 species